GAGGGUAUAGCUCAGUGGUAGACUGCAUGCCUAGCAAGCACGAGGUCCUGGGUUCAAUCCCCAGCACCCCCA
rnacentral:tRNA from 1 species